rnacentral:sRNA from 1 species
CACUCAUAGGCAUUCCGUGUAUUAGCCGAGAGGAAGGUGGACAGCGUCAGGUACUUCUGGACAUAACGGCUAGCUCACACGAGUUUACCAUUGGUGUGGUACAGUUGGCAAGCCAGACCGGGAGGGUCGAGCUAUUCUUCCAAAGCCAUUCCAGUCGGAUUGCACUUUGCAACUCGAGUGCAUGAAGUUGCAUCGCUAGUAAUCGCAGGAUCAGCAUGCCGCGUGAAUACGUUCCCGGCAUGUACACACCGCCGUCACACCAUGGGAGUUGGUUUACCCGAAGGCGCUGUGCUAACCGCAAGGAGGCAGGCGACCACGGUAGGGUCAGCGACUGGGGUGAAGUCGUAACAAGGUAGCCGUAGGGGAACCUGCGGCUGGAUCACCUCCUUUCUAAGGAAGAACUCUAAUGGAAACGCUCACUCGUUGAGCCUCUGCCUUUCAGUUCUCUUGGAACAAGACGGAAGAGAGUCACUCUUACCGUCGUGCAUACCUUAAGCGGGUCUGCCGCCUUCGUUUCUCUUUCUUCGCGAAUGACUAACCUCCCUUUGGCUAUGCCCACAAGGCGUGCCUUGCCGGUGCAAAUGGUGCCAGCAGGGUUCGGUUUAGGGCUUGUAGCUCAGUUGGUUAGAGCGCGCGCUUGAUAAGCGUGAGGUCGGAGGUUCAAGUCCUCCCAGGCCCACCAUUUCCUCGACAAAAGGUAUCAGGGGCCGUAGCUCAGCUGGGAGAGCGCCUGCUUUGCAAGCAGGAUGUCGUCGGUUCGAUCCCGUCCGGCUCCACCAUCUUUCUUCUCUUGAGAGGAAAGGGUGUCGAGUAGAGAUGAGCGCCGAUCGGUCAGUCAUUCGUAUAAAGGUUUGCGGCGAGCAUCUAGCUCUCCGCCUGUUCUGUAUGACAUCGUAAAGAGAAGAUUUGUUCGAACUUCAUGAUCUGAAAGGUUCAUGAUUUGUCGCGGGAGACGCUCAAUCUCCCGCAUAUGAUGGGUUUGCCUAACCGCGCCCUCGAACCGAUCUCGAGAAGCUGGUCUUUUUGUGCCAAUUCCAUUGAAUUCAGGUUCUGCACAGGAUCUGGUUCGAGCGACAAUCUCUUCGGGAUUGCGCGAUGGGCAUUGGCAAUGAGAACGAUCAAGUGUCUUAAGGGCAAUUGGUGGAUGCCUUGGCAUGCACAGGCGAUGAAGGACGUGAUACGCUGCGAUAAGCUACGGGGAGGUGCGAAUAUUUGAAACCGGG